UACGUAGGGGGCUAGCGUUGCUCGGAAUUACUGGGCGUAAAGGGCGCGUAGGCGGACAUUUAAGUCAGGGGUGAAAUCCCAGAGCUCAACUCUGGAACUGCCUUUGAUACUGGGUGUCUUGAGUGUGAGAGAGGUAUGUGGAACUCCGAGUGUAGAGGUGAAAUUCGUAGAUAUUCGGAAGAACACCAGUGGCGAAGGCGACAUACUGGCUCAUUACUGACGCUGAGGCUCGAAAGCGUGGGGAGCAAACAGG
rnacentral:rRNA from 1 species